rnacentral:rRNA from 1 species
UACAGAGGUGGCAAGCGUUGUUCGGAUUCAUUGGGCGUAAAGGGUGCGUAGGCGGUGGGGUAAGUUGGAUGUGAAAUCUUGGGGCUUAACCUCAAAAUUGCAUUCAAUACUGCUCCGCUCGAGUUCUGUAGAGGAGAUUGGAAUUUACGGUGUAGCAGUGAAAUGCGUAGAUAUCGUAAGGAACGCCAGUGGCGAAAGCGAAUCUCUGGGCAGCAACUGACGCUGAGGCACGAAGGCCAGGGGAGCAAACGGG